UGCUUAAACAUGCAAGUCGAACGGAAACGAUACUAGCUUGCUAGUAGGCGUCGAGUGGCGGACGGGUGAGUAACGCGUAGGAAUCUGCCUGAUAGUGGGGGAUAGCCCGGAGAAAUUCGGAUUAAUACCGCAUAAUCUAUUCGUAGUAAAGUGGGGGACUUUCGAGCCUCACGCUAUCAGAUGAGCCUGCGUAAGAUUAGCUUGUUGGUAGGGUAAAAGCCUACCAAGGCGACGAUCUUUAGCUGGUCUGAGAGGAUGAUCAGCCACAUCGGGACUGAGACACGGCCCGAACUCCUACGGGAGGCAGCAGUGGGGAAUAUUGGACAAUGGGGGCAACCCUGAUCCAGCAAUACCGCGUGUGUGAAGAAGGCCUGAGGGUUGUAAAGCACUUUCAAUUGUGAAGAAAAGCUAGUGGUUAAUAGCCAUUAGCCUUGACGUUAACUUAGAAGAAGCACCGGC
rnacentral:rRNA from 1 species